GACGAACGCUGGCGGCGUGCUUAACACAUGCAAGUCGAACGGAAAGGCCCUGCUUUUGUGGGGUGCUCGAGUGGCGAACGGGUGAGUAACACGUGAGUAACCUGCCCUUGACUUUGGGAUAACUUCAGGAAACUGGGGCUAAUACCGGAUAGGAGCUCCUGCUGCAUGGUGGGGGUUGGAAAGUUUCGGCGGUUGGGGAUGGACUCGCGGCUUAUCAGCUUGUUGGUGGGGUAGUGGCUUACCAAGGCUUUGACGGGUAGCCGGCCUGAGAGGGUGACCGGCCACAUUGGGACUGAGAUACGGCCCAGACGCCUACGGGAGGCAGCAGUGGGGAAUAUUGCACAGUGAGCGGAAGCCUGAUGCAGCAACGCCGCGUGCGGGAUGACGGCCUUCGGGUUGUAAACCGCUUUCGCCUGUGACGAAGCGUGAGUGACGGUAAUGGAUAAAGAAGCACCGGCUAACUACGUG
rnacentral:rRNA from 1 species